ACUCCUACGGGAGGCAGCAGUGAGGAAUAUUGGACAAUGGGUGAGAGCCUGAUCCAGCCAUGCCGCGUGCAGGAAGACGGCCCUAUGGGUUGUAAACUGCUUUUAUACGGGAAGAAACCUCCCCUCGUGAGGGGAGCUGACGGUACCGUAAGAAUAAGGACCGGCUAACUCCGUGCCAGCAGCCGCGGUAAUACGGAGGGUCCGAGCGUUAUCCGGAAUCAUUGGGUUUAAAGGGUCCGUAGGCGGGCAGCUCAGUCAGUGGUGAAAGUUUGCGGCUUAACCGUAAAAUUGCCAUUGAUACUGGUUGUCUUGAAUUGGUGUGAAGUGGUUAGAAUGAGUAGUGUAGCGGUGAAAUGCAUAGAUAUUACUCAGAAUACCAAUUGCGAAGGCAGAUCACUAACACUAUAUUUACGCUGAGGGACGAAAGCGUGGGGAGCGAACAGGAUUAGAUACCCUGGUAGGAUAGCGU
rnacentral:rRNA from 1 species